rnacentral:rRNA from 1 species
AGCCGCAUUUCGUGCUAAGGUAGCAUAAUCAUUUGUCUUUUAAUUGAAGACUAGAAUAAAAGAUUUAACAUUUUAAUAUAUUUAUAUAUUUUUAUAAUAUAAAUUUUCUUAAACGUAAAAAGACUUUUAUUUUAAAGAAAGACGAUAAGACCCUAUUGAACUUAACUUUAGUUAAACUGGGGAAGUUAAUUAAUUAUUACUUUAAUUUUCAUACAAAAAUUAUAAUCUAGUAUAAAUAAAUAAUACAGUUACCAUAGGGAUAACAGCGUAAUUACAUUUUAUGAAAUAACACCUAAAAAUUAGAUUGCGACCUCGAUGUUGAAUUAAUAACCUAGUUAGACAAAAUCUGAAAUAGGAAGUCUGUUCGACUUUAAAAAAAUUACAUGAUUUGAGUUCAGACCGGUAUAAGCCAGGUCGGUUUCUAUCUUCUAAAUAGUUCCUUACAGUACGAAAGGGCCCAAGGAUAUUUUUUAUAUAAAUGGCAGAAAUAAUGCAUUAGAAUUAGAAUCUAAUUAAGAUAAU